UUCCUUUUUCAAAACCCCUAUUUCAAGCGCCCGUUCCUCCCUGGCCAUUGUACUGUUCGCCCGCCGUUCCUGCCCGACGCGGUCCCAGCCGCCGCCCCGUACGCUGCAAUCUCAGCCUUCGACGGACUCGCCGCUGCUCCCUCUCUCCCUCUUACACUCUUUCGCCUCUCCGAGCAAUCAGAGUUUCUUGUUUCUGUCUGCCCCUAACCCUUACCGUCGGUGAGAUUGCGCUGCCGCUCAGUUUAAGGAUCACCCCGAGAAACAGUUCAAAACCCAGCUCCUACGCUUUUGCAAAAUCGCACGCAACUGCUGUACAUAGCUCGAACGCCACUUCAAGUUUUCAUUUGGCGCUCCAAGAAGGAAUAGAAUAAGCAAUAAUCUGCAUAUUGUAGAGGAAAAUAGAAGUUUUAUUUGUGUGUCGAUUAGAUUUCUAAGGAUUUGUGGUUUUUUUAGGGUCUUUCUCAGAACUAGGUAAAAUGGGUGAUCUGGAAACUCAAAGAAUUAGAAACAUAUGUAUAUUAGCACAUGUCGACCAUGGCAAAACGACGCUUGCCGACCAUCUUAUUGCCUCCUCGGGGGGUGGUUUGAUCCACCCGAAGAUGGCGGGCCGCCUCCGUUUCAUGGAUUAUCUUGAUGAGGAACAAAGGAGGGCGAUUACUAUGAAGAGCUCUUCGAUUGGUUUACGGUACAAGGAAUACUCCAUAAACCUCAUUGAUUCGCCUGGCCAUAUGGAUUUUUGCAGUGAAGUGUCGACUGCUGCUAGAUUGAGUGAUGGGGCAUUGGUUUUAGUUGAUGCUGUGGAGGGUGUGCACAUUCAAACCCAUGCUGUUUUGCGACAGGCUUGGAUUGAGAAGCUUACGCCAUGUUUGGUUCUUAAUAAGAUCGAUAGAUUGAUAUGUGAGUUGAAGUUGAGUCCUAUGGAGGCGUAUACUCGUUUGUUGAGGAUUGUUCAUGAAGUUAAUGGGAUAAUGAGUGCGUACAAGUCUGAGAAAUAUUUGUCUGAUGUGGAUUCAAUACUUGCAAGCUCUACAGGUGAGGUAAAUGAUGAGAACCUCGAGUUAAUUGAGGAUGAUGAGGAAGAUACAUUUCAACCCCAGAAAGGGAAUGUUGUGUUUGUGUGUGCGUUAGAUGGGUGGGGAUUUAGCGUUAAUGAGUUCGCUGAGUUUUAUGCUUCAAAGCUUGGGGCAAAUGUAUCUGCAUUGAAGAAGGCCUUGUGGGGUCCUCGGUAUUUUAAUGCAAAGACGAAGAUGAUCGUUGGAAAGAAGGCCUUGGCUGGAGGAAGUAAAGCUCGACCUAUGUUUGUUCAAUUUGUGCUUGAAAGACUUUGGGAAGUUUAUGGGGCUGCUCUAGAAACUGAUGGGAAUAAGGAGGUGCUUCAAAAGGUUAAUAGCACAUUUAAUUUGAAUAUACCAGCUCGAGAACUUUCUAACAAGGAUCCAAAGGUGGUUCUUAAUGCUAUUAUGAGUCGUUGGCUUCCUCUUUCAAAUGCAAUAUUAUCAAUGGUUGUUAACUGUAUGCCUGACCCAAUUGCUGCACAAUCAUUUCGAAUAUCACGGUUGCUUCCAAAGAGGGAUGUCAUUGAUGCUGAAGUCGAUGUCAAUGUGCUAACCGAGGCAGAUCUUGUCAAGAAAUCCAUUGAAACUUGUGAUACGAAGCCUGAGGCUCCAUUUGUUGCUUUUGUAUCCAAGAUGUUUGCAGUGCCAGUUAAAAUGCUUCCAAGGAGGGACGAUCAUGGCGGGACUACUAAUAUUUCAUCUGAUGAUGGUGGCGAUGGUGAAUCAGACGAGUGUUUCCUCGCAUUUGCAAGGAUAUUUAGUGGGGUUCUUUAUUCUGGACAGAGAGUUUUCGUGCUUUCAGCUUUAUAUGACCCAACAAAAGGGGAAUCGAUGCAAAAGCACAUUCAGGAGGUUGAGCUGCAUUCAUUUUAUCUAAUGAUGGGCCAAGGCUUGAAACCAGUGACCUCUGUAAAAGCAGGAAACCUUUUAGCAAUUCGUGGUCUUAGCCAUCACAUACUGAAAAGUGCAACUCUUUCAUCCACAAGAAAUUGCUGGCCUUUCUCAAGUAUGGCAUUCCAGGUUGCGCCAACCCUGAGGGUUGCACUCGAGCCAUCUGAUCCUGGAGACAUAGGUGCCUUAUUGAAAGGCUUAAGGCUUUUAAAUCGAGCAGACCCUUUUGUAGAGGUAACUGUUUCAUCUCGAGGAGAACAUGUACUUGCUGCAGCUGGAGAAGUCCAUCUUGAGAGAUGCAUAAAGGAUUUGAAGGAGAGGUUUGCCAGGGUAAGCUUGGAGGUCUCUCCACCUCUUGUAUCUUAUAAAGAAACAAUUGAAGGCGAGGCAUCUAGUGUGUCGGAUUAUUUUAAAGUGUUACCUGCAAGCACAGAGUGUGUCGUUAGGAAAACCCCAAAUGGUAGAUGUGUUGUCAGAGUGCAGGUACUAAAACUUCCACUUGCUCUAGCUAAAGUACUUGAUGAAAAUUCUGGUGUUCUGGGCGAUAUUAUUGGCGUCAAGUUGGGGCAAAGCUAUAAAAACUUGGAAACCAAGAGAUCAACUUUGAGGGAAAAUGAGAAUCCAGCAGAAACAUUAAAGAAACUCAUAUCAGAUGCAGUGUGUAGCAAUGUAUCGUCGAAGGAUGACAAACAUAAUGCACAGUGGUCAAAGCUUCUUAGGCGAAUUUGGGCACUUGGACCACAGCAGAUUGGUCCUAACAUUCUGAUUAACCCAGAUCCUAAAGUAAAUGAUUCUGAUUGCUCUGUUCUUAUUCGGGGUUCAUCUCAUGCAUCACAGAGACUGGGUUUCGUGGACGGUUCUUCAAAUGAUGAUUUGGAUGCUGAAACAUCGUCGGUAAGUGAUGUUGCUUCUGUAGCAUCAUCAGAAGGAGCUCAGACAUUAAGCAUGGAAGCAGCAUCUCUUGAGAACAGUGUUCUAUCUGGGUUUCAGCUUGCUACAUCAGCCGGGCCCUUAUGUGAUGAACCUCUGUGGGGGUUGGCGUUUAUUGUCGAGGCUUCUAUUUCUUCAUUGCCUGGGAAUUCAGAUGAGUUCGAACCUCCCUUUCAAUCAGAGAAUAAUACUAUCUUUUCCGGGCAAGUUAUGGCAGCUGUAAAGGAUGCCUGUAGAGCAGCUGUACUUCAAAAGAAACCUCGGCUUGUCGAAGCCAUGUACUUCUGUGAAUUGAACACUCCCACCGAGUAUUUGGGUCCAAUGUAUGCUGUACUUGCUCGAAGGCGAGCCCGGGUUUUGAAAGAAGAAAUGCAGGAAGGUUCACCUUUGUUUACUGUGCACGCAUAUGUACCAGUUUCAGAGAGUUUUGGUUUUGCAGAUGAGUUAAGGAGGUGGACUUCAGGAGCUGCAAGUGCUCUUCUAGUGCUUAGCCAUUGGGAAGAACUAUGUGAAGAUCCGUUCUUUGUCCCGAAGACGGAAGAAGAAAUUGAAGAGUUUGGAGAUGGUUCUAGCGUGCUUCCCAACACAGCCAGAAAGCUCAUUGAUACUGUAAGACGGCGUAAGGGUCUUCCUGUGGAAGAAAAAGUUGUGCAGCAUGCAACAAAGCAGAGAACACGUGCUCGAAAAGUAUAGAGAUAGAUCACGUCAUGAUUUGUACGAGUACUAUAAUGCAAUACAUCCUUAGAAUUCAAACCUUUAUGAGAUUCCUGCUUACAUGGGAGAUUUGUAUUCGGCCCGGUCCAUCUGGAGUUCGCUUGGGAAACAACUUUUGGAGGUUGCUCCCUGACAUGGCCAUUCGGGACGUCAUGAAGCUUGGACGACGACACCCUUACCAGCCUGAAAGAGUGGACCAACAGUAAUUACAAUGAUGAUAAGCAAGCAAAUGGGCUUCAUUUGGUUAUAAAUUCCCAGGAUUCUCAAUUCAAGUUCUUGGAUGGAGGAAAAGGGUCCUUGGAAGCUCGCUGCAAAUAUGGUUGUGGCACUUGGAUCUUGUGAAGGUGGCUGCGGAGGUAAGUACAUGUCAUGGCCCUCAUAGCCACUUGAUCUAUAUCAAAAAUUCUCUCUUUAACUUUCUCAACCAUCGAGAACCACCCAGUCUCAAGCCCAAAAAAGAGUCAUUUGGAACCCAUGAGGAGCAUUUAAGUUAUACCAGCGAAAUGUACGUUAAUGUACGUGGUGAGAUCCUACAUCAGUUGAAAAGGGGAACAAAGCAUUUUUA